GUUGGGUUAAGUCCCGCAACGAGCGCAACCCUCGCCUUUAGUUGCCAUCAUUAAGUUGGGUACUCUAAAGGAACCGCCGGUGAUAAGCCGGAGGAAGGUGGGGAUGACGUCAAGUCCUCAUGGCCCUUACGCGUUGGGCUACACACGUGCUACAAUGGCGACUACAGUGGGCAGCUAUCUCGCGAGAGUGCGCUAAUCUCCAAAAGUCGUCUCAGUUCGGAUCGUUCUCUGCAACUCGAGAGCGUGAAGGCGGAAUCGCUAGUAAUCGCGGAUCAGCAUGCCGCGGUGAAUACGUUCCCAGGCCUUGUACACACCGCCCGUCACACCAUGGGAGUUGGUUUCACCCGAAGGCGCUGCGCUAACCGCAAGGGGGCAGGCGACCACGGUGGGAUCAGCGACUGGGGUGAAGUCGUAACAAGGUAGCCGUAGGGGAACCUGCGGCUGGAUCACCUCCUUUCUGCGGCCGCUUA
rnacentral:rRNA from 1 species